rnacentral:rRNA from 1 species
GAUGAACGCUGGCGGCGUGCUUAACACAUGCAAGUCGAACGGAAAGGCCAGUGCUUGCACUGGUACUCGAGUGGCGAACGGGUGAGUAACACGUGGGUGAUCUGCCCUGUACUUCGGGAUAAGCUUGGGAAACUGGGUCUAAUACCGGAUAGGACAACUUUUUGGAUAUUGUUGUGGAAAGCUUUUGCGGUAUGGGAUGAGCUCGCGGCCUAUCAGCUUGUUGGUGGGGUAAUGGCCUACCAAGGCGUCGACGGGUAGCCGGCCUGAGAGGGUGUACGGCCACAUUGGGACGGAGAUACGGCCCAGACUCCUACGGGAGGCAGCAGUGGGGAAUAUUGCACAAUGGGCGCAAGCCUGAUGCAGCGACGCCGCGUGGGGGAUGAAGGCCUUCGGGUUGUAAACUCCUUUCGCUAGGGACGAAGCUUUUUUGUGACGGUACCUGGAGAAGAAGCACCGGCUAACUACGUG